rnacentral:rRNA from 2 species
UAGAUUUGAUCCUGGCUCAGGAUGAACGCCGGCGGGUGCCUAAUACAUGCAAGUCGUACGCACUGGCCCAACUGAUUGAUGGUGCUUGCACCUGAUUGACGAUGGAUCACCAGUGAGUGGCGGACGGGUGAGUAACACGUAGGUAACCUGCCCCGGAGCGGGGGAUAACAUUUGGAAACAGAUGCUAAUACCGCAUAACAACAAAAGCCACAUGGCUUUCUGUUUGAAAGAUGGCUUUGGCUAUCACUCUGGGAUGGACCUGCGGUGCAUUAGCUAGUUGGUAAGGUAACGGCUUACCAAGGCGAUGAUGCAUAGCCGAGUUGAGAGACUGAUCGGCCACAAUGGAAGUGAGACACGGUCCAUACUCCUACGGGAGGCAGCAGUAGGGAAUCUUCCACAAUGGGCGCAAGCCGAUGGAGCAACACCGCGUGAGUGAUAGAAGGAGUUUCGGCGU